UUUCGCGCAGAACGUUCCCAGAGGCGGCGCGCGCCACUCGCAUCAGCAUACCCUCAUUCAGCGCGCUGGCUCCGUCGUCAGCUGUACAUCACCAAUACUUCAGUAGGCAAUAUCAGCUGUUGAUGGGAGUAGGCGACGCAGGCCAGCAGCACGGCCGCUGUCAUCAUCAGUACGGGCCUCAUGUUGUGUGGGUGAGAUGGCUGUGAUCA